CCGGCCCCGGCUGUUAUGCAAAGGUUACGGUCCCUCCGCAAAUCCGCUGGGAAGCCGGCGGGGCGCAGCGGCGCAGCGAGCAUGCUCGGCGAUAAUCCCCCCCGCCUUAGCUACAGACAGAGCGAACACUGCCCAUGAUCCGCGGACGAUGUGGAGGCUCUGCCGUGGCCUGACGCUGAUGCUAGCCCUUCCACCGUGGCACACCCCAACCGAUUACAGGGCAGUGGCACUGAUAGGGCGCGGAUCAGCUGCGCCGCGAAGACAGCAUCCACAGCCAAGAGGGCGGCUGCCGCUGAAGGCAGAUUGGAACCGGUGGCCUCGGAGCUUCCGCAGCAGCGGCCGAACACCCUGAGCCAGGCACUCUGUCCGCUCCGCCUCCCGCCGCCGGCCUCCUCAUUGCCAACGGGCCGCCUCAGCCCGCGGCCUGCCCUCAUGGCACCUUCCCUGCUCUCCUGCUUCUCGCUUCAUUCCCACUGCGCUCCCAUCUUCACCACUCUCCUGCCUCUCUCUCCAGUCCCACGCCGCUCCCGUGCUCCCCGCCGCCUCUCCGCCCAGCACAGCCCUCACGCCGGCCUCUGCUUCCCCAGCCCUGCCAUGCCCCUGCCUGCCCUCACGGCCCCGCACGCCUCACACCGCACCCGCACCCGCUGCCCUCCACCCGCACCGCCUUUCCUGCUGCCGCUGCCCACCCCCUGCCCCAAUUCCUGCACAAGCCUCCCCUGGCACAACUCCAGGCACAGCCAGGGCCCCUGGCACGGCCCCGCUGGAGCAGGGCAGGAGCAGCGGCUGAUGCCCUGAGCACAGUCCCGCUCCCGUCCCCAGCCGCACUGCGGAGGGGAGGAGGCACAGCUGCCAAGGAUGGCAGGGCUUUUUCACCUCUGCUUUUAUUCCUUCUUAUCCUGCUCUGAUUUGCUUGGCAAUAAAGUCAAUUAAUAUCCCCAAGUGGUA